rnacentral:rRNA from 1 species
CACGUACUGUGCGAACGUUAUUCGGAAUCACUGGGCUUAAAGGGUGCGUAGGCGGCUUAUCCAGUCAGGUGUGAAAUCCCACGGCUCAACCGUGGAACUGCGCUUGAAACUGAUAGGCUUGAGUAAGACAGGGGUGUGUGGAACUUCUAGUGGAGCGGUGAAAUGUGUUGAUAUUAGAAGGAACACCGGUGGCGAAAGCGACACACUGGGUCUUAACUGACGCUGAGGCACGAAAGCUAGGGGAGCGAACGGG